rnacentral:tRNA from 1 species
UCCUCUGUAAUAUAGUGGUCAGUAUCCCCGCCUGUCACGCGGGAGACCGGGGUUCAAUUCCCCGCAGGGGAG